rnacentral:lncRNA from 13 species
AUGACAUAUGAUAAAAGAAAAAUAAUUACAUGUGGAAAAAGUCCCAAUGCUAAGGAUCUUCUCAUCUUAAUGUUACUCACUGUAGCAAAGAAUUGCAAAUGCUGUAAUCAAAUACAGGGUAAGUUGUUAAAUAAAUGGUGGUGUUUCACAACAAAAAAUUUAAGGACAUGGAUGAAUCUGGAAAACAUCAUCCUCAGCAAACUGACACAAGAACAGAAAAUGAAACACCGCAUAUCCUCACUCAUAGAGCAAUGUUCCCAACACCUCCCUUUGAAGUGUGGCCUAUUUGGUUGCUUGCCGGCAAGAAAAAGUGUGGACAAAAGAAAAGAUAAAAUAUAUUGA